UCUGACUAUCUGAGCGCUAAAAACAAAAUGGAGUUAGUUUUCAAGUGUUUGUUUCUCGCGGUUCCCGUGCGUUCCUCAGAACAAUUUAAUUUAGAAUAUUAACAGAACAAAUUAAUUUAGAAAACCCGCAUCUACACGAGAAUCGUCUAUUAUUUUAAACAUCGUAAACAAACAUCUGUUCUUCGAUCAGCCAUCGAAGUGUGGUCUCUGUCGCUUAUCAAGUUGCGAGAGAUGAAAACAGCGGACCUCUUGAGGGAAGAUACGAAUACUGGAUGAUCGCAAGGCGGAAACGAGUCGGAUGUUACACGGCCACAGUGGUCCCGUGUAUCGCACUGCAUUCUUGCCGGACCGCACCGUGCUUCUGUUAUGUUCGGAGGACUGUACCGUUCGCCUGUGGUUGCUGCAUACCUGGAUCUGCGUGGUGGUGAAGGUCAUCAGUUCCCUAUUUGGGACGUUCGCCUCUCGCCUUACGGACAUUAUUUUCUCAGUUGCUUGCAUGGCAAAACCGCCCGACUGUGGUCCACGAAUUCCUACCAGCCACUGAGAAUCUUUGUGGGGCACCUAUCCGACGUUGAAAUCAAUCUACGUAGCUACCGGGCACCGGCGUUUUCCAUUUGCGGUCGCUAUCUGGCCUCAGGUUCGGUUGAUUGUCGUGUCUGGUUUGGGACCUAGCCAAUGAUCAUCUAAUCGCGGCUCUCUGCGGUCACUUGGCGUCGCACUAUGCUUCAGCUGUAAUGGAACCUUGCUGGCUACCGGCGGACUUUUCCAAAUUGUGCGAAGAUAUCAGCGGAAAGCAACUCGUUCCUGUGAUAUUGUGGUACCCGGCUGAUGCUGAUGGAGAUAGGAAGAAGAUUUUUGACAGGAAGGCUUAAACAAUCGUUCGGCAGAAGAAUCAGCAAGCGCAUCCAUAGAACCGACACGACCCAGAAUUUAUGUUUGAGGACCAUAUAAAAGACUAUUUGAACCAUCAAAAGACUUCAAGGCGAACGUUGCCGAAGUACUCGGAGAGAAACUUUUGAAGACGGCACUCGUAGAGACGGUGAUAAAAAAGCCCACCUAGGGGCUGAGAAUGACCUCUUGACUACAGGAGCGAAAAAAGAAAUGCGACAGACAGCGUCAGUGCAUCGAAGUGGAAAAGUCUCGUCAUGAAGCGGAUGAACGACGGCUGGCUGAGGAAGGAGAAUAAAACUGCUGGGCAAACAGAAAGAAUACACAUCCAUUCCGGUUACGCUGUUUGGAACCUGAGAAACCACGAUUCUGGCAACGAGCUGACUGACGAAAAAACAGUACCGGAAGUUGGAUACACCCUAGAUACACAGGAAAGUUUCAGUUUAGUUAGGAGUUUUGUUGUUGAAUGGGAAGGAUCUCAGGUCGUUGGACAGAGGCCUUCCUACACGUCUUAAAAUGCAAUGUAUGAUGCAACCACACAUUGGCACAAUUUCAGUUGCACAAAACAGUUCUUAACGGUGCCAAGGCAAGGAUUUUGCACUGGCUGAAGAUGAC